UGGGAGGCCAAGGUGGGCAGAUCACUUGAGGUCAGGGGUUCGAGACCACCCUCACCAACAUGGUGAAACUCCGUCUCUACUAAAAAUACAAAAAUUAGCCAGGCAUGGUGGCGGGCACCUGUAAUCCCAGCUGCUCAGGAAGCUGAGGCAGGAGAAUUGCUUGAACCUGAGAGGCGGAGGUUGCAGUGAGCAGAGAUCACGCUACUGCACUUCAGCCUGGGUGGCAGAGCUAGGCUCUGACUCAUAAAAAGUAAAAAUAAAAUAAAAAUAAGAAGGAAUUACAAAAUGGAACCUUUUCUUUAAUACCAGCCUCUACCACACAAUCCCAUUCCUCCUGUCUCCUGCAGAGGUAGCCUAAAGAUUAAAAUACUCAACAAAUUUCUCACACCACCAUUAAAGCUGCUUACCAAGAACUUCCCCAGCAUUUUGACUUCCUUGUUUGAUAGCUGAAUUGUGAGCAGGUGAUAGAAGAGCCUUUCUAGUUGAACAUACAGAUAAUUUGCUGAAUACAUUCCAUUUAAUGAAGGGGUUACAUCUGUUACGAAGCUACUAAGAAGGAGCAAAAGCAUAGGGAAAAAAAUCUGAUCAGAACGCAUCAAACUCACAUAUGCCCCAUCUACUACAAACAGAUUGUAGUGCUGUGCUGGUUUAUUCCGUUGUGCAGAACUGCAAGCUGAGUCACUAAACCAAAGAGAGGAAAUAAUAGGUUAGUAAACAUUGUAAUCCCAGGAACUAAGUUUAAUUCACUUUUGAGUGUUUUGUUUUUUAUUUUUGUUUGUCUGAUUUACUUUGGGGAAAAGGCUAAAAAAAGGGAUAUCAAUCUCUAAUUCAGUGCCACUAAAGUAGUCCUAAAAGUCUUACUGAAGUAUGGACUUUUAAGCUCAGGUGUUUGUCCUCAAAUAGCUGCAUGGCCACUAAAUGUGAGGCAUUCUGCUAAGUGGGAAAUACACAUUAAAAUAGAGAAAAUGAGAAUUUCUUCCCUUUUAUCAAAACAAGAAGCUUGCUAUUACUACACUUGUUGAUUCAAAUAUUAUUGAGCAAAGUCUUUUCUCCUCCCAAAUUUGGUCUGUAUAGCAUGCCAAUUCCUACUAUUUCCUUUGCCUGGUUAGCUCAGUAGCUACCUAUAAGCAUCACACAUUUUGAGAAGUAGAUGAAACUUAUAUGUUUUUAAUUUGGAAAGCCAUUUUAUAAGGAGUUUGGCAGGCAGGUGAACACUAAAGAGACUUUCCAUGAAUUGGGCACAAUCUAAAAAAAAAAAAAAAACAAGGUAGGAAAAAGAAACUUAUUUACAAUAAUUAGAAAUUUAUCUGCAAUAAUAGCCUGAUCAGCUGACUCAGAGUUAAUGAUUAAUGUAUGGGUCAGGAUUUUGAAGAAAGGAAGAAUGGUAAAAUUGACAAAGGUGAGAGAGAAUAGCAGUUAUAAAGACAGAAGAGUUACUAGAUGGGAGGGAGUUAAGCAAGGUUCAAUAAGUUAUUUUUCCUGUUGACUGGACUUUUUCUUUAAAAAGCAGUGUAGCUUUGCAUACAUUUUUUCUGUGAAAUAGGGUCUUGCUAUGUUGUCAAGGCUGGAUUCAAACUCCUGGGCUCAAGCGAUCCUCCCGCCUCAGCCUCCUGAGUAGCUGGGACUACAGGCAUAUGCCAGUAUGCUCAGCUAAGAGCAGUGUAGCUUUAAUUAUAGCUAAACUACUUACCUUUCAUCUUCCUUUACAUAUUUUAUUUUCUUCUUUGGAAUUUUUAAUAACUAACCAGAUGAAUUGUUACAGUGUUUAUUGGGUGUGCUGUAAGUAGAAUUUUAAACAUGCAAAGCCAUCCAUCAUCCCUUUUUGUGAUCCUACUUAGCUGCCUAUGUGGCCAUUGAUUAUCAAAGGUUAGAUUUAUAGGGUAUACCCAUAUAAAAAGAAUAAUCACAAAAUAAUUAAUUUUCCCAUAUACCUUUCGAUGACAAAAACAAAAUAGGUUGGCCUAUGUUUCUUGAUGAGACUUUUCCAUAUGAUGGUAUUGGCUAGGCUUGGUUCUCUGAUAUGUAAAUACGAUGUCAUUUUUUAAAAUCACUUGCUGCAGUCAGUGUGAAUCUUUAAGUAAAUAGGUGAUUAACUUGUUACUUUGAAAUGUAAAUAUGUGAAAUUUUAGAUUAAAUUAAAUAUCUCUAUUCCAGUUUUGGAAUUUAGGAAUUCUCAUUUUAGGUUUUUUCUUAUUUCCUGUUUAAGUGACAGUUAUUAACAUAUCUGAACAAUCAGCUUUGAUAAAAUAGUAAUUUUGAUUUGUUCCCUUUGGUUAUUUAUAUUUGUCACAGGUAUUGGUUAAGUCAGUCAAAAACCAUGUGUUGAGGGUCUGCUAUAUGCACACCAUUGUACUUAGUUUAGGAUUUGUUAAGAGUAGAAAUGAAAUAUUUUCAGCUUUAAAUUCUAAAUUGGCAAAUAGAUCUUACCUCUACUAAUAGUUCUUUUGAGUACAAAUUUAAUUUGAAUGAAAGUAAAUCUGUAUCUUGUGAAUGAAAGGAAUUUACUUUGUUGUGUACAGAGAAACCCAUUUGCCUGGCUUUUGUCAAUAAUUCAUUUGAAUUUAUAACCCUUUUUUUUUUUUUUUUUUUUUGAGACGGAGUCUUGCUCUGUCGCCCAGGCAAGAGUGCAGUGGCGCGAUCUCGGCUCACUGCAGCCUCUGCCUCCCGGGUUCAAGCAAUUCUCCUGCCUCAGCCUCCUGAGUAGCUGGGACUAUAGCCGCGUGCCGCCAUGCCCAGCUAAUUUUUGUAUUUUUAGUAGAGACAGGAUUUAACUAUGUUGGCCAGGCUGGUCUUGAUUUCCUGACCUCGUGAUCCGUCCUCCUCAGCCUCCCAACAUGCUGGGAUUAUAGGCAUGAGCCACCACACCCGGCCGAAUUUAUAAUCCAUGUUAACAGUAAUAUUUUGCUUUUGCUUCCUGUCCUUUGCAUUAAAUACUUAAAUUUGCAAAAUCUGAUACUGCUUAUGGCAUCAAGAACCACUUUGGAAAAAAAACUUUGUUAAAGUAGAAAUGCUGUUAAUUCUUAGGCGUUUUGAGGUCGGACAUUGUCUCUUGGUGGAAUACCACCUUACUGAUUAGUGCUAACAUGAGAGGGUAAUUAUUAGACCUUGCAAAUUAGCAAGUAAAUAAAAUAAAAAAUAUUUUAUCACAAAAAUUUACACUGAUUAUGUUAGGCGAGUGCCCAAUUUCAAAUACUGUUUGGGUUUUCCGUUUGUUUUUGUUUAGUUUUCUUUGGUUGUAGUUCCCAUGCUCCAUAUGCAGCUUUACUGUAGUUCACAGAAAAGGUAUCACCUGGACAUUGAAAACUCACCAAAAUCCAGCCAGUACAUUUAAUUGGGCUUAGAGUGAAACCAUUUGGGUGGUAUGGAGGUAUACAGAAUGAAAAAUCGGGGUGGAGGGCAUGGGAAUAUAUACUUAUAAUAAUGUUUCAUGGUAUUUAGUAAUUAUAAUUGCUUAGGAAUUAAUAUGAGUUAUUAGGG
rnacentral:lncRNA from 1 species